rnacentral:tRNA from 1 species
GGUUGUGGUUCAGUGGUAGAGCACUUGCCUAGCAUGUGUGAGGCACUGUGUUCAAUUCUCAGCACCA